ensembl:lncRNA HTR5A-AS1 HTR5A antisense RNA 1
AGUAAAUACCUCUCAUAGAGAGCUAGGGAAUUCUCUUUCCUGGAUUUUUAAUUUCCUUCCGCAGCUUUACUCAUGUUCAGGAAGGCAGACAAGUGGUCCUCAGUCACACCUACAACCUAAUAGGGCUGUGGGGGAUAGACCCAUAAAGUAACACCCUAAGGCAGUGGAAGCAGAUAACAAAUGCAGGCUCCGGGACUAGUGCAGUCAACAUCUUCAGUCUUACGUCAGGACGGGAGGAUGCCACAGAAUGACAGUAACCUAGGUGAUACCAUAUUUUUAAUAAACCGGCUGCUGUAAUUUGCAAAGAAAAAGAAUAGACUAGGAUGAAAUGCUAACCUGCAUCACCUGACUCAUGGCAGUCUUCUUAUCAAAUCAUGCUCCCAUCCCUGCCUCCCCUCCUCCUGGAACACCCCCAUUCUAAGUGCUGGAAGCUGCUAGUUUUUUCCAGUGUACUGAAUCAGCGUACCCCAGAUACCAGCUUAUUCAGAUGUUCUAAAGGGUGUUAUAGAUCCAUAGAAUUUGGGGGCCAAAGGGGACCCUGCAGAAUGACGCAGUCUGAACUCCUCGUGUUCUGUAUAUUUAACAAACAACCCAUUAGAGAAGGAACAUGAUAUGAUUAGCCCUGUGAGAGGGAACAUGUCAGAGCAAAGUACAUCUCUGAUGCUUUCUUCCACUCUCCCAGUUUACUCCCCCCACUCCCAAACACAAAAAGUUCCAUUUUCUACAAGUGUGGGGGUGGGGCAGGUGGCCUGGGGAUAUAGCCUGUACAGAUGCAAGUCGAGUAUUUUUAAGGAUUGCUGAGAUACCCACCUCCACAGCUUCGGAUAUGGGUGAGACGCUAUUGGUCUUCCUGGAGCCCACGCGGAACUUGGCAGCCUUGUAGAUCUUCCAGUACACGAAGAGCACCACACAGAGCGGCAGGUAGAAGGCGCCUACGGUGGAGAACACGGCGUAGGAAGGCUCGCGGCUUACCUGGCACUCCUCGCUGCCCUCAGAGUACGUCUCUCCCCAGCCAAAAAGCAGCGGGGCCAGAGAGAUGACAGCGGAGAGUGCCCAGGUGAGCGCGAUCAUGACGUUGGAGACGCACUUGCGGGUGCGGAGCGUGUAUUCCAUGUGGCGCGUGAUGGACCAGUAGCGGUCCAGGGCUAUGGCCGUCACGUUCCAGAUGCUGGCCGUGCAGCAAAGCACGUCGCACGCGAUCCAAAGCUGGCACAGCCUCCGACCUAGCUGCCAGCGGCGCCCGGACAGCUCGUGCACCAGGCUCAGCGGCAUGACCAGCGCGGCCACCAGGACAUCCGAGACGGCCAUGGAUGCCACCAGGUUGUGGGGCACGCGGUGGAAGGUGCGUACACGGAGGAUGGUCGCCAGCACCAGCAGGUUCCAGGCGAACGUCGCCGCCACCAGAAAGCCCAGCAAGAGUAAAACAAGUAUCAGGAGAAUGCACUGAGAAAAGAGAAAGUCCUCCACUGGAACCUAGAGGACGGGACAACAUCAUUAAAUACCGGAUUAUUCACAGGGCUGUUUCAAACACCACUUAAAAACAGCUGAUGGUGACUGCCUGCAUGCAGAGCAACUGUGCAUGGCCCCAAUCUGGAAGCAAGCUUGUGCUUCUUUAAGGCAAAUCACCUUCUUGAGGUCAUGGAACUAAUGGGAAUGAGAUGUAAACUAUGAAUCCUCUUCUUUGGAAAAAGUUCUGCAUCUAGUCUCAGGGCCUGUUAUCUGGAGGAAUGGAUGAACUGUGUUGCCCACAGGCGGGCCUCAAUGGAUCUCUAUGAAUCUUGAAAGGCAUUAUGGGCUUGUGAUUAUAUUCCCUACUGAUUCCCCAGGCCACAGCUGUCUGUAUUGAUAGCUAAGUGAGCAGCAGAAUAGUUAAUAAGGACAAAGCCAAGGAUGACUGAGGAUAAUUUGUGAAAAAUAGAGUGUCAUAAAUUUAGGGACUGAAUAGAAUAUUCCCACAAAGGAGAGAUCCAAUGGAGCAUUUCCAGAAGGGACAAACCCUGUUCAGAAAGUCUGGCUUAUCUCUUAAAAAUACACAAAUAAAAAAUCAUAAUAUUUCAGCUUCAUCUUAAAGCAUAGCCCCAAUUUUAUCUUGAAAAACACUGAAAAGGAAAAGAAUCUGAAAAGGUAUAAAACUCCCGUCUGCCAUAUGGUACCUCUGAAAUGGCAGUAUUGGGAAAUAUACCUUCCUGGGUUGUCACCUCUUAUGGGUUAAACUGUGUCUCUCCUUCCCCCCUCCCUUACCCCCUGCCAGAUUUAUAUAUGGAAGUCCUAACCCCUAGAACCUCAUAGUGUGACUAUAUUUAGAAAUAAGAUCUUUAAAGGGAUGAUUAAGUUAAAAUGAGGCCAUAGGAUAGGGCCUCAUUCAAUCUGACUGACAUCCUUAUGAAAAGAGGAAAUUUAGACAUGCAAAGAGACACCAAGGAUGUGUGUGUGCAUAGGAUAGACCACGUGAGAAUAAAGCAAGAAGGUGGCCAUCUACAAGCCAAGGAGAGAGACAUUAGAAGAUACCAGUAUUGGAAGAUUAGAAGAUAUCAAGAUUGGAUUUCCAGCUGCCAGAACUAGGAAAAAAUAAAUUUCUAGUAUGAGCCACUCAGUCUGUGGUAUUUUGUUAUGGCAGCCCUAGCAAGCUAAUAUACCAUCCGACAAAAGAUACUAGCAAAAGAUACAACCACAUAACUGAACGAGGUGCUAUACUGGAGAAGAGGGAAUUAUAGACAUAUAAACAAAUCAUGGGACAUCUACUAAAACCUUUCCAAAAGGUAGUUUGCAGCCAUCUAGCAAUCAUUCGAGUGCAGACUCAGUUGUCUAUUGAGGUUACUUACGGUUUGUAAUCAAGUCAUGUCACUGGCUUAUAGAAAAAUACUUAUUUUAGAUUUUUCUAUAAUGGGAAGGUAUGAAUCUAUUUCAUUCAAGUAGGAGCUGAUUUUUUGGUUUGUUUUUGCUUCUGUUUUUUGAGACAGAGUCUCACUCUGUCAUCCAGGCUGGAGUGCAGUGGCACAAUCUUGGCUCACUGCAACUUCCAUCUUCCGGGUUCAAGCGAUUCCCAGCUAAGUUUUUUGUAUUUGUAGUAGAGAUGGGGAUUUUACCAUGUUGUCCAGGCUGGUCUCGAACUCCUGACCUCAAUUGAUCCAUCCCCAUCAGCCUCCCAAAUUGUUGGAAUUACAGGCCUAAGCCACCACACCCGGCCAAGACCAACGAAUUUUAAUGUAACAGCAUAAUAAACAUGCAUGAUACAAUUUCAGAUUCCACAUCACAACAAAUCUUUAAGGUGCUACCACUCAUUGAGUUUUAAUAUAGCAUCACAGAAAAAAUAUCCAUAAUUAUCUGAAAAUAGUAUUAAAGUACUCUAUUGUCUGCUGUAUAUCUGUAUGAAAGUGGAUGUUCUUCACAAUCUUAAACUAAAAUAACAUAUCCCAACAGAUGGAAUGUAGAAACAUAUGAUGUUCUAGCUGUCUUGAAGAGAUUUGCAAAAAUGUUAAUGCUAUUCAGAAAUAUUUUAUGAAAAAUAAUUAUUUUUCAUAAUGAGGUAUCACUUAUAUAGACAUGUAAUGGGUUUAUUUUAUUUUUAAUAAACAAAUACACAAAUAUGUUGAAAAUGUCUCUAGUUUAUUUUCCAGUAAAUAUUAAUA